rnacentral:lncRNA from 1 species
AGGGAUAUCGGGUCUGAGCAAUAUCAAAGGUUGAAAAAACACUACAACAUAACACAACAUCAAACACCAUACACAAACCUUAAACAAAUCAGAAUAACACAAAAUCUCUCCAACCCUCACACUCGUGCCAACCUUUCAUUCUCACUUUAACUCUCACUCACUUCGAACAUGGGAAGAAGAGAAGUAAACAAAAAUAAAACAAAGGAAGCUUACC